rnacentral:lncRNA from 1 species
GCAGUCACAAUUCCUCUGAGACCCUGAGAUCCUGGUGUGACCAAGCUUCUGGGAUGCUGGGAUCCUGGAAUCCUAAGAUCCUGGGCAUGUUAAAGCGCCUGGAAAUGGUACCUCCUCUGGAGACCAAGGGGCUGUCUGCUGUGUUCAAAAUCAAGGUACACCAGCAAUGGCCAGAAGCUGCUGGUUGGGCAGUGCAUCUCUAACAGAUGAGUGUUGAUCUCUGUUACACUAAAGGGUAUGUGUGCACAUGAAUGCAGGCACUCAUGGGGACCAAAAGAGGGAUACUUCGUGCCAGCAGAAGAAUCCAGCCUCUGUGACAACCAUAGAAAUGUGCUGUUCUUUAAUCGCUGGCUGACUCAGUUGUGGUGAACACCAGAGGAACAAGCUUUUUGGCUGUUUGAAUUUCAAAGAUCUCACUUUGAUACUACCAAAUGUUGGAUCUGAGAUUGCAGAGAGGAACUCUUUCUGGCUGAUGAGAAUCCUGUUAGGAUGAGGGCCUUCUCUGGACACAGUUGCAGAAAAUGAAUAGUUUCCUGAUGAGGGUCACUCAAGUUCUGAUGUGUGAGGAAUGUUCUUUAAAAUACUAUUAAAGAUAAUCUGUUAGUAUGU